UUUUGCUUUAAAUGAAUGAUUAAUGUCAUGGUGUAAAGAACAGAAACUGCUCUUUGUUAAUAAUUGGAAUUUUUCUGGGAGCGUCCUAGGCUUUUUCACGCUGAUGGCCUGCACCCAAGCAGCAGAACUCUUCUCUGACAACAUCUCCAGGACUCUACACUCCAUAUGACUAAGAGAAGAGCGGCACCACCCCAGGAGGGAUGAAGACCAUCUCUUUUCAACAGGUAAGGUCUGCCCCAAAAGCUUGUCCAAUUGUCUAUGAAACCUAUGUUAUUCUGCAGGCACCACUUAGACAUCCAGCCAUUGAGUGAUGACAAUCUGCUAUGCAUCUCAUCACCACGGUAAGCAGGGAGGGGACCAGAGCAUAUUACAGUGUCUGACAUCAUGCUUGCAAGUUCACACACCUCUUUAAUGUUAUUUUUAGUGAUCUCCGACUGGUGAAGUCGAACAUCAUUAGCACCGGCGUGAAUAACAAUCUUACUGUAUUUACGUUUAGCAUUAGCCAGCACUUUUAAAUUUGCUAAGAUGUCAGGCGCUCUGGCUCCCGGUAAACAUUGGACUAUGGUGGCUGGUGUCUCUAUUUUCACGUUCCGUACAAUAGAAUCGCCAAUAACUAGAGCACUUUCAUCAGGUUUCUCAGUGGGUGCUUCACUGAGUGGGGGGAACCUGUUUAAUGUUUUGAUCAGAACAGAAGAGUGGUGUUUAGACCCACAACUAUGCCGUCUCACAGUCACCCAGUUGCAUGCAAAAGGCCCUGUUACUGGAACCAAACAAUGUACAGGACUCCCUGAGCUAGACGCAUCCAAAGCCUUAUCUAGAGCCCUCACAUUCUUACUGUCGUCAAUUAAAGUUUGGAUGCGUGUCUUGAAUUCUGAAAUCUUCUCUGUCAGCCUAACUAUUUCUCCACAAUUUCUUGAUGCUGGAAUAUCUGAAGAAAGGCAGAGAAUAGCGGCUCGCAAGGUUUGUAAAAUCUGGAAGCUGGAGUCCUUCCUAGAGUUGCAAAAGCUCAUCCACCAGGGGCUCCAGAAAAUAAUUUACAUGAAGGUUUGGCUAAUUUGGGCCAGGUAUUAGUCCAAUGAUAAUCAUGUUUUCCUCCUUGAAACGUUUGCGAGGUAAGUUUAGUACUACCAUGUAUAUAACACCCACAGAGUACUCACUAUAUUUAUAUGGUGGGUACCAGUCAAUGUUCAUCAUAAGAGCCAAAUUGUUGGGUGCUCCAAGAAAAGGUAUACCAUUCUGAUACUGAAACUCCUUCCAAAUCCUUCCAUCAAAAACAUCUCCCAAAACUCGAAAAAAUCUCGAUGUCUCCACUCCUCGCACAUUUGAAGAAAUCCUUGUCGACAUAUCAAAGACUUGAGGGACUCGAUUAAACUUCGGUAACAGUAUGAACGUAUGGGGUACAGAAACUCAUUCUGAUUAGGACAUACGAUUUUCUUCAUUAGAGUGGCACCGCAUUUUUUUUUGUAGAAUAUUUAUGAGGAUGAUUGUGAAAAGGAACAUACUGACACUUGUUGGAAACCUUGGUGCCAUUUCGUUCAGUGUGGAAGGACUCUUCCAGAGUGUUACAUCAUAUAUUUGACAAUUAUGAAUACAUUAUUGUAUUUUAAAUGGUAGAAAAACCUCUUUUUGACCUUAUAAAAAAUGCACUUUUCCUCUGUACAUGGCUGUGGGGACAAGUAGUUUUGAGGUGCUUGGAAUUCUAUAUAAUUAAUUUUAAAAAAAUAUUGCCACAUUGGUGGCUCAGGAAGGUGUAAUUGUUCAAAUAACAUAUUGUUUCAUGUUAAAAUAAAAAGAAAUUGUAACCCUAAAAUGUUUUUCAAGUGCAAAAUUUCUGUAAAGGCUAGGGACAGAAAAAUGGAAAUUUUCUUAGAAUGAACCUUCUACAUAGCAUCAUUUGACAAAGGUGCUGAACAGGACCUUUUAAGAUAGGUGCUGUAUAGCACUUAAAGUGGUUCGCCUAUGAUUACAAGCCAAUGAAUCACUUUUAGUGCUAUUUAUCACCAUUUUUGUUUAGAGUGUAUUCUGACAACCCAAACUUAUGAUUCAGUAAGUUAUGAUGGCUUCAAAAGCUUUAAGACCACUUCCCACAAUAUACAAUAAAGCAGUAUAAUUUUUUUUUUAUUCUUAGCUUUAUUCCAUUAAGCAAAUAGAGUACAAACAGUGCUUUUAAAUGAUGACAUUUGAAAGCAAUAAAAUAAUGAGUCAACAAAAAUAAAUUAGUAUGGGUAAAAAAUAUUUAAAAAAAUAGACAGAAUACAAAUUGACAGAGUAGAGAUUAGACAAUGCGUGACGUAUUGACGAGAUGACGUAUUAUAAAUAUUACUUAUAGUAAUAUAGUUUUCUAAAAUUCAGUAUAUGAGCCAUUGUGUUUGUAUGGAAGCCAAAAAUUAUGUCUUUGGGGUGGAAAAGUCUUGCAUAAUAAAAAAAAAAUCAUACAGGAGUGGAACAACAUGAAGAUGAGUAAAUUAUUACUUAGUUC
ensembl:lncRNA